AGUGAACGCUGGCGGUAGGCCUAACACAUGCAAGUCGAACGGCAGCACAGUAAGAGCUUGCUCUUACGGGUGGCGAGUGGCGGACGGGUGAGGAAUACAUCGGACUCUACUUUUUCGUGGGGGAUAACGUAGGGAAACUUACGCUAAUACCGCAUACGACCUACGGGUGAAAGCAGGGGAUCUUCUGACCUUGCGCGAUUGAAUGAGCCGAUGUCGGAUUAGCUAGUUGGCGGGGUAAAGGCCCACCAAGGCGACGAUCCGUAGCUGGUCUGAGAGGAUGAUCAGCCACACUGGAACUGAGACACGGUCCAGACUCCUACGGGAGGCAGCAGUGGGGAAUAUUGGACAAUGGGCGCAAGCCUGAUCCAGCCAUACCGCGUGGGUGAAGAAGGCCUUCGGGUUGUAAAGCCCUUUUGUUGGGAAAGAAAAGCAGCAGGUUAAUACCCCGCUGUUCUGACGGUACCCAAAGAAUAAGCACCGGCUAACUUCGUG
rnacentral:rRNA from 1 species